UCUCAGUUCUCUAGCGGCCGCUUCUCUUCUUCUUCUCACUCUCAUAGCAGCAGCUAUUAAUCAAUAAUCAUUCAUGAUCUUACACCAGUAACACCACCACCACAAGUAACUCAAUAUUGGGUGCUUAUCCAGAACCAGAGGAGUUUGAUGAUCCAAUGAUGCUUGAUUAAUGACUGUUGAAGUUCAGGUUGCAGACUUGAGAUGGAAAGGAACUAUGGAAGUGCUGGUUUUAACACCUUUAUGUUAAACUUUUAACAAUAUUUUCCUUCAGUUAUGUUAGUUAAAGUCUUUAAGAACUUUUUUCAUGUUUAUCAGACAGUUUAUGUUAGUCAAACUCAAAACUCAUUAACUUUGAAGUUUUUAGCUUGUUUUUGUUUUAAAGAACUUAUAUAGUUAUGUUAGUUAUACAUGGUGUGUUUUUGUUUUUAAAGAACAAGUUUUUGGCUUGUUCUGAAUCUGGUGGCAGGAAAUUAAGAUGGCAGGGAAAAACUGCAGGAAAAUUUCAGGAGUAAAAUUGUCAGGCAGGCAGACACGGUUUAAAACCGGUACCGAACUGAGCCGACUCUGAUCGGUUUAAUACCGAACCGAGUGAUGGUCGGCUCGGCCACGGUUUCAGAUUUGAAAACCGACCCCUGGUCGGCUCGGUGGACGGUUUCGCCUAAAAACUGGGCCGACCGGCCGAUGUGCAGGCCUAUAUAUGGCGGUGAAAUAUGUUGUUGAUAAAGAAUGGAAACUUAAGGGUGAAUUUAUUAUGACUUUACGUGGUGAA